rnacentral:misc_RNA from 1 species
GGAAAGCUCAUUUGUAUUGCCUAUUAUGUUAGCCCUAUAUGUUUAAAUAAUUUCUUGAUAUAAGAAGCAGAUCUAGUCUUAAUUUCUGAUGUUGGAAUGCUCAGAAGCAAGGGUGUGUUAUUGGAAAGCAGAGAUUUGGUAUUGAAAUUAUUAUAUUGGAUCGAUUUGCUCCUUUGAUUUACAUUGGGUGCACUUCGGAUGCCUUUCUGACAACAAAUUCUCUAUUCAUUCAAGAUAAUUUAAUAGUUUUUUUAGUUCUUUUGGUAGUAAAUGAAACCUACAAAUUCAUUGCCAAGGAAACUGAUAAAUUUAUUCUUUUGGGAGUUCGUUUCCAAAAAUGAGGCUGGCUGAUUUACCUCUCCCGAGCCUUAUAAUGCUCCUAUAAUUCUACUUGAUUAGGGUAUCUUUUUCUACCUUGUACAUUAGCUCUUCCAAUGCCAUUGAUAUUUGAUUUUCCAUCCCAUCCUCAACUUUUUCUGUUGCUCCCUGAAUUUUGUGAUAUAGUUUUGUGGCUCCAGGUCUUAUUGGUAAAUAUAUUCUGUAUCCAAUUGGUUAUGGUAAACACAGAAAAAUGCAUCCAAGCAGAUUGAUGAUUCUCUCAUAUCUGGUGAUAUGCUUGACA